UUUAUUGUUUUUUUACGUUUGUUGGUAUACAGUGUAACCUGUCGCUUGUGUGACUAUGGUGAUAAACAUCGUGAUGAAUAGGCGAUGUGGACUCGGGGGCGGAGCCCGACAUCUCCACCAUUUAUGGGGAUGAAUAGAUUCGACGCACGUUAAAAAGCUCGGUUUUCACUCGUGAUGGUUUACGUUAUAGAACCGAAAAAUAUAAAUGCGAACGAUAAUUUUGUCGCAUGCAACGAUAAUUUCGCAAGCGAGGCAAUUGCUAUCGCUGCUUAAUUAAGUAGACGCGGUUUGGGGAGCCGGGCAACAGAAGUCCCCGCU
rnacentral:tmRNA from 1 species